AUUGAACGCUGGCGGCAUGCUUUACACAUGCAAGUCGAACGGUAACAGGCCGCAAGGUGCUGACGAGUGGCGAACGGGUGAGUAAUGCAUCGGAACGUGCCCAGUCGUGGGGGAUAACGCAGCGAAAGCUGCGCUAAUACCGCAUACGAUCUAUGGAUGAAAGCGGGGGACCGUAAGGCCUCGCGCGAUUGGAGCGGCCGAUGUCAGAUUAGGUAGUUGGUGGGGUAAAGGCUCACCAAGCCAACGAUCUGUAGCUGGUCUGAGAGGACGACCAGCCACACUGGGACUGAGACACGGCCCAGACUCCUACGGGAGGCAGCAGUGGGGAAUUUUGGACAAUGGGCGCAAGCCUGAUCCAGCAAUGCCGCGUGCAGGAAGAAGGCCUUCGGGUUGUAAACUGCUUUUGUACGGAGCGAGACGGUCCUGGUUAAUACCUGGGGCUAAUGGCGGUACCGUAAGAAUAAGCACCGGCUAACUACGUGCCAGCCGCCGCGGUAACAC
rnacentral:rRNA from 1 species